UGGAGUCAGUGCCUAGAGGAGCUGCCUGCAAGAAACAUCAAAGAGGAGAAAAAUCCUGGAUGAAGGGAGUUUUCAGAGAAUGUGAAUGCCACACCUGUGCAUUGUCUGCGACUGACUUCUGGGCUCUACUCUUUGGAAGAGACAUUCUCAAAUUCAAGAGUCUCUGUCUAUGCCUUGGACUUGGUUCCUCUGUUCCCUUACCUGUGUGAAGUAGCUGGGGACAGGUCUGUGAGGGAAGGCAAAAUACUUCUUGCAAGUGGACAGUUUGUUUCAGAUAAGGAAGUGAGGGGUGUGAGGUGGCUCAAUAUAUUGCUCCAGGAGGGGUUUGCUGGAGCCAGGAAAAUCCAGCUCCUGCAGACUGGCUCCACUUUCCUUUCACCCCCUCCUGUGAGUAAUGUGAGUUGUUUAUUUCUUCAUAGGCGCCCUUGCAGAGAACAACUAGGCGUUCAUUUCUGUUCCCACCUCCUCCUUGCCUCGGCCUCUCAUUUUUCCUUGAAGAAGUGGGCAAAGCUGCAAGGGAAAACACCUUCACUGCCUGUCCUUGUGGGAUCACAGGGCACUGGGGCAGAACCAGAUGAGCUGCCUGAGCAUGGGGAGGAGUAGGACACUGUGCUGUGUAGGAUGAAUUUUGCUGAGGCUUGCAGCCCACUCCAGACUUGUCUGCUCCCAGACCCUGAGGAGAGAUUUAGAUUCUUUUGCUGCUGCCCAUGUGCUUGUGUGCAAUAUCCUACCAUAGAUUUCAUACAUUUUAAAAUGAAUUAGAACCUUAACCUCCUCUUCCUUUGAGUUCUCUGUAGUAAUUGUAUCCUUCUGCUAUUAAAGUUCUAAAUAAUGACUGAAAUAGAUGUUUAUUUGAUAAUUUACAGUUUGAAGAGGAUUUUGAAAAGAAAUUCAUCUCUUUACAUGGGAAGACACUAUGUAAUCUUCGAAGACAUUCCAAGUUUCCUCAAUAUUUUACAGUCUUUUUGCUAUUUAUUUUGUAUCUCUUUUCUUGAAAAUGUUUAUUUUGGGUAGGUCAAAACAAAAUUCUCCCUAUGUCUCUCAUCAGCUGUAAGAUGAAUGCACACAGUUGGAACAUGUUCCAUUGAAACUCUCAUGCCGAAUAAACAAAGUCCUGACCA